AUUUAAAUAGUUUAUAAAAAAUAUUGAUUUGUGGUAUCAAAGAUACAGAAAUUGUUUUAAAUU
rnacentral:tRNA from 1 species